rnacentral:rRNA from 1 species
CCUACGGGCGGCAGCAGUGAGGAAUAUUGGUCAAUGGGCGGGAGCCUGAACCAGCCAAGUAGCGUGAAGGAUGACUGCCCUACGGGUUUUAAACUUCUUUUAUAAGGGAAUAAAGUGAGCCACGUGUGCCGUUUUGUAUGUACUUUAUGAAUAAGCAUCGGCUAAUUCCGUGCCAGCAGCCGCGGUAAUACGGAGGAUGCGAGCGUUAUCCGGAUUUAUUGGGUUUAAAGGGAGCGUAGAUGGGUUGUUAAGUCAGUGGGGAAAGUUUGCGGCUCAACCGUAAAAGGGCAAUUGAAACUGGCAGUCUUGAGUACAGUUGAGGUAGGCGGAAUUCGUGGUGUAGCGGUGAAAUGCUUAGAUAUCACGAAGAACUCCGAUGGCGAAGGCAGUUUACUAAACUGCGACUGACACUGAUGCUCGAAAGUGUGGGUAUCAAACAGGAUUAGAUACCCUAGUAGUC